rnacentral:snoRNA from 1 species
UGGCACUGAUGUAUGAAUUUCUUCAACUGAACAUGUGACUUUUAUGAGCCUUUUAACCCUGAACCAA